CCUGAGCAUUUAUCCAGCCUCAAAAUUUGAGAGCAAGCACUUUUCCUUAUUCCUAUUCAACCUGAAAGCGGCAGUCGAAUCCAGCUUGCAUGGUAUUGAAAUGCAGGUGGCCUGUGCAACAGUGUUGCUAAAAUUACCAAAACUAACCACAGCCAGGGAAGGGCCAUUAUCGGAAACAGAUUUUAUUACCAUGGAAACCAACAGAUAAUGCCAAGUCCAGUCAUUUUUAUUCUCGGAAAAGAGAGAGACCAGAAGAGAGAAAAACAGGCAGCAGAGGAGGGAAAGCUACUGGAAGGAGUGUAUGAGAACCUGCUGCGUCAGCAUGUGCUGGAACAGGGAACACCCUGGGGGUCGCACUGACAGCACCCCUGCCCUUGUGGGGUUAACAGUCCAGAAUAGAAGAAAGCCAAGGAACAACCAUGUAACUAGGAUAUUUCAGGUUGUGGCAAGGAGUGGGACUCAAGUUCAAAGUCCCUUGUAUUUUGAAGGUUGCACAAUCCUACAACUCUGUGGGCUCUGGCAUAAUCGGGUGGCCCAGGCCUGCCCCAAGAAAGUGCAGCCUUGGACUUAGAGGAAGACAACUAUGGACUGAACCCCAGCUCAGGCUCUUCCAUUCUCUCGUAGCUGAAGACAUCCACCACUGAGGAGCAAGAUGAGGAGACGAAAAAAGUCCCGGUCCUCCAGCCAAGUCAGGAACACUGAGGGCUCCAAUCUAGUCCUUCAUCCCAUCAACAUGGCCCUGUGGUCCUGCUGUCUCCAGGAUUCCACCCUCCAGGGCUAAACCAGCAGCCUUCACUCCGACUCCUGAGCUCACAGGGCCCUCCGAGGGCUGUUCUCCAGGAACCAGGAGCAAGGUCCAGCUGCCUGUUAGAGGUCAGAAAGGGGAGGCCCCCCAGCCUCCCUCCAGAAGUAAUAGAUAUCUCCUUCCAACUCCCAGUCAAGGCUGAGUGGAAUAAAUUAUCACCCUUUCACAGCAUAAUCACUGUCACUCGCAGCCUCGGCUGCCAUCUGCUUCUUCACCAGAAUCCCCACCUAGGCAAGCUGGAAGGCAACAGAGGACACAGGGACACGUAGGUCAUUGGGCUGGCCACAGACAGACAAGGGCGAGCAUACACUGGGGCUGGCAGCCAGAGCAAGGAUGCCUAGGCACUCAUCUCAGCACCCUGCAGAAGCCCACAGGAGAGCCAGAGAUGUGUCAGGCCUCAGCACACGCUGUCCCCUUCCGUCCUUAUCCCGUAGCUGAGAGACACAUCCUGGUCCUACCGCUCACAUUCUACACCAUGGGAAACUGAGGCUCGGCUGUAGCUACGGUCUCGCCCAAGGUCUCCCAGACAGGAAGUAGCAGCACUUGGUCUUUGCCCAUGAACGAGGACCACGUUCCUGCACUUAGCCGUUUGGCUCUGCUGCAGCACCCUGCCAUGUAUGGCUACCCUUUUCUCUCUAGCACAAACUUGGGGCUACCAAAGGUGACAUCUGUAGACAGCAAUGUUUGGGAAACACGAUCUGUGUGAGAAAUAAAAGGAGAAGGAAACACUUGCA